rnacentral:other from 1 species
GUCAAAACACAAAAUAAUUCCCUUUGGGAAUAUUUGGAUG